CUAAAUUGUGCUGUUUUGUGCUUGCUAAAAUUGGAACGAUAUAGAGAUUAGCAUGGCCCCUGCACAAAGAUGACAUGCAAAUUCGUGAAGUGUUCCAUAUUUUA